AAGACAAAUACGAGAAUAUAUUCUUAACUCUUGCAUGCUUUAAUAUAAAAAUGUGUAACACAGAUUGCAAAACCUCAAGUUGCCCACAUUUCACUGCUGGUGUAUUGCGUUUGUUUACGUUAUGGAAAUGUGCAUCAAAGAAAUGAUCAACUAUCAAGACUUGAAAACCGUUGACUGGUUGACACAAAGUGCGUGGUCGUCGUCAUCAUCGUCGUCAUCAAAUGACGGGGCAAGAAAAAAAGGCCGCCACAGUUGCAGAGCUGCAGAAAGAUAAGCAUCUUUUAUGGACCGCCGUGUUACAACUAUUCAACAGCAACUAACAGAUACUUAUUUGAGUGCCGUGUGUCUGCUUUUGCCUUUGCGAGAUUCAAAUUGAAAUUCGAAUGAAAAUAAGUAAUUCAUUUCGCUGCGGUUGGCAGCCAAAACCAA